rnacentral:rRNA from 1 species
GACGAACGCUGGCGGCGUGCCUAAUACAUGCAAGUAGGACGCAGUUGCGAACGGGUGAGUAACGCGUAGGUAACUGCCUAUUAGAGGGGGAUAACUAUUGGAAACGAUAGCUAAUACCGCAUACUAGUAGAUGGACCUGCGUUGUAUUAGUUAGUAGGUAGGGUAAUGGCCGACCUAGGCAAAGAUACAUAGCCGAACUGAGGUGGUGAUCGGCCACAAUGGGAAUGAGAAACGGCCCAGACUCCUACGGGAGGCAGCAGUAGGGAAGCUUCGGCAAUGGGGGGAACCCUGACCGAGGAACGCCGCGUGAGUGAAGAAGGUUUUCGGAUCGUAAAGCUCUGUUGUUAAGGAAGCGGUACUUAACCAGAAAGGGACGGCUAACUACGUGCCAGCAGCCGCGGUAAUUC